GCAGACAUAAAUAUACAUGAAAAAAUUAAAUAAGUACAAGAAACAAAGUAAAAUUAAACAAAAUAAGAAAAAAAUCGAUUUGCCUUCAAUCUUCAGUUUCAAUUGAUUG
rnacentral:ribozyme from 16 species